GGAAAAAAGGCUGAGCCCGAGAUAAACUAGGAAGUAAACAAGGCAGAAGAUGAGCUUGGUCGGAGGGAGCAGAAGAGCAGGAGCCUGCGGCACAGGACAGCAGUGUUUGGAGAGGAAUAGCAGCUCAGUAAAGGGAAUCACAUCAGAGAGGGGAGGAAAAAAGAAGAAAAAAAAGGAAGUGAGCACUAACUGUAGAUCCUACAGUAGCAGCAUUCAAGAGAGAAGCAGUUAAGGUCUCCCAGCUACAGGUCCUAUAUUUCUCUACACUAUGCCUUACUAGAUGAUCCCUCCAAGGCAAAAAAGACUUUAUGCAAAACUAUGAAGAACGGUGAGAUAAAACACGGGAAGUUUCACUUAUUUUUAAACUUUGUUAGAGAAAAAAAACGAGGUAAACAUA